rnacentral:rRNA from 1 species
GAUGAACGCUGGCGGCGUGCCUAAUACAUGCAAGUCGAGCGAACGGACGAGAAGCUUGCUUCUCUGAUGUUAGCGGCGGACGGGUGAGUAACACGUGGAUAACCUACCUAUAAGACUGGGAUAACUUCGGGAAACCGGAGCUAAUACCGGAUAAUAUUUUGAACCGCAUGGUUCAAUAGUGAAAGACGGUCUUGCUGUCACUUAUAGAUGGAUCCGCGCUGCAUUAGCUAGUUGGUAAGGUAACGGCUUACCAAGGCAACGAUGCAUAGCCGACCUGAGAGGGUGAUCGGCCACACUGGAACUGAGACACGGCCCAGACUCCUACGGGAGGCAGCAGUAGGGAAUCUUCCGCAAUGGGCGAAAGCCUGACGGAGCAACGCCGCGUGAGUGAUGAAGGUCUUCGGAUCGUAAAACUCUGUUAUUAGGGAAGAACAUAUGUGUAAGUAACUGUGCACAUCUUGACGGUACCUAAUCAGAAAGCCACGGCUAACUACGUG